UAUAAGCAAUUAUACAGCGAAACUGCGAAUGGCUCAUUAUAUAAGUUAUCGUUUAUUUGAUAGUGCCUUACUACUUGGAUAACCGUGGUAAUUCUAGAGCUAAUACAUGCUAAAAAUCCCGACUCCGGAAGGGAUGUAUUUAUUAGAUUAAAAACCAAUGCCCUCUGGGCUCCCUGGUGAUUCAUGAUAACUUCUCGAAUCGCACGGCCUUGCGCCGGCGAUGGUUCAUUCAAAUUUCUUCCCUAUCAACUUUCGAUGUUUGGGUAGUGGCCAAACAUGGUGGCAACGGGUAACGGAGGGUUAGGGCUCGACCCCGGAGAAGGAGCCUGAGAAACGGCUACUACAUCCAAGGAAGGCAGCAGGCGCGCAAAUUACCCAAUCCCGACACGGGGAGGUAGUGACAAUAAAUACUGAUACAGGGCUCUUUUGGGUCUUGUAAUUGGAAUGAGUACAAUUUAAAUCCCUUAACGAGGAACAAUUGGAGGGCAAGUCUGGUGCCAGCAGCCGCGGUAAUUCCAGCUCCAAUAGCGUAUAUUAAAGUUGUUGUGGUUAAAAAGCUCGUAGUUGAACCUUGGGCCUGGCUGGCCGGUCCGCCUCACCGCGUGUACUGGUCCGGCCGGGCCUUUCCCUCUGUGGAACCCCAUGCCCUUCACUGGGUGUGGCGGGGAAACAGGACUUUUACUUUGAAAAAAUUAGAGUGCUCCAGGCAGGCCUAUGCUCGAAUACAUUAGCAUGGAAUAAUGAAAUAGGACGCGCGGUUCUAUUUUGUUGGUUUCUAGGACCGCCGUAAUGAUUAAUAGGGACAGUCGGGGGCAUCAGUAUUCAAUUGUCAGAGGUGAAAUUCUUGGAUUUAUUGAAGACUAACUACUGCGAAAGCAUUUGCCAAGGAUGUUUUCAUUAAUCAGGAACGAAAGUUAGGGGAUCGAAGACGAUCAGAUACCGUCGUAGUCUUAACCAUAAACUAUGCCGACUAGGGAUCGGACGAUGUUAUUUUUUGACUCGUUCGGCACCUUACGAGAAAUCAAAGUGCUUGGGCUCCAGGGGGAG
rnacentral:rRNA from 1 species